GGCACAGAAUCUAAUCCCAGAACCAAUAGAUACUGAAAAUGUAUCCUCACAGAGUGAUUUGCAGAAAUGCAAAUUUCAAGACAGAACUGCAAAACUUAAUUUGAAGAUCCAUGAACAAUUAAUGAAAAUUGUGAAAUGUAUUCCAGUUUAUGACACGUCAGUGGAUGCAUUCACUAAUGCUGAAAUGUUUGAGUCUAAUUUAGACAAAUACAGCCUAAAUGACGAACAAAGGAAUAGACUAUUUCAAAUAUGGCUGCCGACUCAAAUGGCAUGUAGGCUGACCGCGCCUGUAAAAUUCGAGGACAAUGAUGAAAUAAUAUAUGGAAAUAAGCAAGACAGAUUAACACAAUUAAUAAAAUUAACAACAGGGAAUGAUUUUGCAGACACUGAAAUGUUGGAAAAACUAAAACCACACAAGGGGGAGGAUAUAUUUAGUUUUCUUGCAAAAUUUGAAAGUGCAUAUAGACUUGUUGCUGAUUUUUCUGAAGAUCAGUUAAUUAAUGAAUUUGUGAAAAAAUUUCAAGAUCUAGAUCCAACUGCAAUUGUGUUAGCUAGAGAAAAAAGCACUUUGACAGAGGUAGCUUUG